rnacentral:siRNA from 1 species
ACGGUGGUCAUGGAAGUCGAA